rnacentral:rRNA from 1 species
CCUACGGGUGGCUGCAGUGGGGAAUAUUGCGCAAUGGGCGAAAGCCUGACGCAGCGACGCCGCGUGGGUGAUGAAGGCCUUCGGGUUGUAAAGCCCUGUCGGGUGGAACGAACGAUCUGGCGGCGAAUAACCGCCGGGUGUGACGGUACCACCGAAGGAAGCCCCGGCUAACUACGUGCCAGCAGCCGCGGUAAACCGUCGGGGGCGAGCGUUGUUCGGAUUUCGUGGGCGUAAAGCUAGCGCAGGCGGCAAAUCCCUCGGCUUAACCGAGGUCCCGCAUCCGAUACUGUCUGGCUCGAGUCUAGGAGAGGAAAGCGGAAUUCCCAGUGUAGCGGUGAAAUGCGUAGAUAUUGGGAGGAACACCGGUGGCGAAGGCGGCUUUCCGGACUAGUACUGACGCUGAGGCGCGAAAGCUAGGGGAGCGAACGGGAUUAGAUACCCCUGUAGUC